rnacentral:sRNA from 1 species
AAGAAGAGAGGCAUAGCAUGAGAAUAUAUCAUAGACUCGUGUGGGCACCAAGGAUGAAUUGCCCGCAAAUCCCAAAAUGUUAAGUUGUUUUUGGGUGCAGUUCGUCCUUGGUUCUGACAGUCUCUUGUUUCUCAUGCUAGGCCUUUCUCUUCU